rnacentral:lncRNA from 1 species
CUCGAGGCUGCCCGUCGCCAAGGGCUCGGCGGCUCCCUGCGCAGUGGAAGGGGGGAUUGGUGCAAACAGGCGCACGUGACAGAUCCCAGUUUGAGUUCCUGCCCAAAGAUGGGCAGCAGUUCACAUGAGCAGGCAACGGUCCCACACCGAGCAGCCGACAAACAGAAAACAGACUCCAUCUCCACAAAAUGAGGCCCAGAACUUCCUGUGUGAGAUUUCCAUUUCCUCAGCCAAAUGAAAAAGAACUGGAGUAGAGGCAAUAAACUAGGAGAGCAGGACUGGACCUGACGCACGGAGCGGGGACCCAUUAAUGGUUAAGCCACUUUGCUGGAUUACUCUUAAUGCGCCUUCCCAUCACCCUGGGUUCUGGCUCCUUUGGAUUAACAAUAAGACGUGAUUUCAGGCUCUGGAUCCGGAGUACCGGAGGCAGAUGGAAAAUCCUGCGGGAAAGCAGCUACGGAGCAUGCUCAGACACUGCUUCGCAUACUCCAUACUUGGCCCUUUCACUUGAUUUUCUGUCCAAAAAUAUGCAAAUUGCCUAGCUCGCAUUAUGGACUAAUGGGCUGGAAUCGGCCAGUUUAGAAAAUUAACCCUUUUUUGUGAUGCAGGGGUAGAGGCAGGCUGUGUCUGAAGCUGAAGGGAGGCGACUUUUGGAGCUCUGGGAACAGGCAAACGGCUCCAAGCCAGCCCAGCCCGACCAAGGUUUGCCUGUUUCAGAUAAAAACAGGCAGUAAAACGCUCAUGCUGCACAUGGACCUACCUCCUUCCAGAGAAGAAGGCUCUGUCUUUGAGCUGGUUGGGCUUGAAGGAGAUAUAUCCCAAUAAAGCAGACACACACCCUAAGCACAAGGUAAAAAUCCAGCUCAUGGCUCAUCUCCUAAUAGCCUAAAAGAGGCAUGUGCCAGAACCUGCAGAGCCCCUUCAGCCCUUAACACCCCCAGUGUCCAAAGCUGGACACCUGUCACUGUGACACUGAGGGUGAUGAGUCCCCACCAAACGUCCCCUGCACACAGAGUGCCACAUCCAGCAACAAGUGUGAGUGAGGGGAAAGGUGGCACGAGGAGCCCGAGUAGGGAGGAGACACUGCAAGACAGAGCAGAGGAUGCACGUACUGUUUGGGGAGCUCGAGGGAGGUUGGUGGAGGAUUCCAGGUGUCCGGGUGGCCAAGCAUCCAGUCCGACCAGACCUUCACACUGGGGAGCAGCUCCUUCAGGUCCUGGGGCAAGGCAGAGACCUUGAUGUCAUCCUCCUCAUCCUCCUGCUCCUCCUCUUGUGGCUGAACUUGCACGCAUUCUCUCAGCAGAUUGGUGCACCUCCUCACCAGGAGUGCAAACAUGGAGAGCCCCAGGGCCGUGGCCUGUUCCUGGAUGACGGAGCGGCAGUCCUCGGAGAUGCACUCUAGGAGAGAGAAAAAGAGAUUUCAGUGGGGAGCAGCCAGAUGAUCCCUCUUUACUUCACCCAUGCAACCCCCUUCUGUGCAUCCCACGCAGCAGGGAACGGGUGACUCCUCACACCUGCCUUGGGCCCACUCGCUGCACAUAUGGGGAGAAGCAGGUGGCCACGGGAGCAGGGAGAGGCUGCAGCCACGCUGUCCUCAUCACACCCAAAAAUACCCCUCGUGUCGAGCCAGUGCUCGGGGCUCUCAGCACAGAAGCUGCUGCUUGGAGCCGAUGCCUUCCCUGAAGGAGGAGGGCAUGUUUAAGUGCUAAAAGGGUAAUUAGCUGCAUGUUUGAUCUCUGUCCCUGCUGGAGUUUUAACCUCAGCAGCUGAGGAGGGGGCUCCUCCCAUUUAGCUCAGCCGUCACACAACAGCUUGUCAAGAGAGCUUAAUUGAAGCUGUUACUCAAGUAGAUGCCACACGACCACAGCUCUUCCAAACAGAGCCGGCUCCGAGUGACAGCAAAUCCCCUCGGCACAGCUACACCCAGCCAGAAACCACUUCUGAGGCUGCAGCGAGCAGCGGGACGCUGGCUGCAGGGAGCUGCCUGGAGCCGGGCAUGGGUUGCAUUUAGCACAGCCUGCGGCACC